GCUAGUCAUCUCAGUAAUGCAGCUAACGCAUUAAGUGUACCGCCUGGGGAGUACGGUCGCAAGAUUAAAACUCAAAGGAAUAGACGGGGACCCGCACAAGCGGUGGAGCAUGUGGUUUAAUUCGAAGAUACGCGAAGAACCUUACCUGGGCUUGAUAUCCUAAGAACCUUUUAGAGAUAAGAGGGUGCUAGCUUGCUAGAACUUAGAGACAGGUGCUGCACGGCUGUCGUCAGCUCGUGUCGUGAGAUGUUGGGUUAAGUCCCGCAACGAGCGCAACCCACGUAUUUAGUUGCUAACGGUUCGGCCGAGCACUCUAAAUAGACUGCCUUCGUAAGGAGGAGGAAGGUGUGGACGACGUCAAGUCAUCAUGGCCCUUAUGCCCAGGGCGACACACGUGCUACAAUGGCAUAUACAAUGAGACGCAAUACCGCGAGGUGGAGCAAAUCUAUAAAAUAUGUCCCAGUUCGGAUUGUUCUCUGCAACUCGAGAGCAUGAAGCCGGAAUCGCUAGUAAUCGUAGAUCAGCCAUGCUACGGUGAAUACGUUCCCGGGUCUUGUACUCACCGCCCGUCACACCAUGGGAGUUGAUUUCACUCGAAGCCGGAAUACUAAACUAGUUACCGUCCACAGUGGAAUCAGCGACUGGGGUGAAGUCGUAACAAGGUAACCGUAGGAGAACCUGCGGUUGGAUCACCUCCUUUCUA
rnacentral:rRNA from 1 species